UUAAUGGUGGGGCAGGUUGGGGUGAGAAGAGGAACCCCGGGGAAAGGACUAGAUGGGCUUGGGAGCCCACAGUCUCACCUGCCUCCACUCUCUCUGAGGCACACUUGGAAAAUGCUCCUCAGGAAUGCCUGUGUGGUUCUUCAGCCUGUGCGGGGUCACCCACCAACCCCCCACGAUCUCACAGGAUGAAGGCAAACACAAAGAACUCUGCUGGACCAGGCACCAGCACGGAACGCGGUGGGCAUGUAACUUUUGCCAUCGGAUGCUAUCCCCAUUUGGAGUAGAAACCAUAACCUUUCACUUUUUGAGUGUUUAUAACAAAACCUGAAGGAUGCAGAUAAUGAGGCGAAGAAAACCAACACAUCUACAGUCACAGUGGAUGGGUAACUUCCACAAGUAACUUUCAUUCGG